UGACAAGAAAGACUACUCUUCAAUCAAGUACGAUGCAGUGAUACUUCUAUCUUCUAUAAAACAGUGUGAAUGAGGCCCUGACCCUGAAACAACCAAUUUAUUGUCAUUUAUCCAUCCAUCCAUCCAUCAUCUGAAUAUACGCCAUGUGCCAGGGUAGUGUACAAGAGCCAUCUAGCAUCUCGAGGUACUGAGAGAUACAAGAACCAACAAGCUACCUCUGUGGAAAUUAAGAGUAUCCAUGAUUACUUAUGAUUUACAAAGAACAAAGUAGCAACCGCACAAUAGAGAAACCUCUCUGGUACUACUUUGACCAAGUCAUCAAAUUUAAAACCGUAAGUGCUGGGAAAAAUUGACAUCACAUGAGUCUCCUGAUGUGAUGCUCUGAGGUACUGUUCUUGGUUUUACAAAAAAAAAAAAAAAAGUUA